rfam:Felis catus isolate Cinnamon breed Abyssinian chromosome F1, whole genome shotgun sequence.
GCCUGGGUGGCUCAGUCAGUUGAGCGUCUGACUGCGGCUCAGGUCACGAUCUCACUGUUCGUGGGUUCGAGCCCCGCAUCGGGCU